rnacentral:lncRNA from 10 species
GUUUGUAAUAUUUUAAAGCAUCAUAUGGUCAUCGAAUGUUGACGAAUAAAUGGAUUUCUCAAGGCAAGAAACAUACCCUCUCUCCAACUCCAUCACACUCAAUGGAUAUAGGAAGAUCUAGGAUUACCCAGACCUGAGGCACUCUUUAUGAAUCUCAGUCUAAGAGCAUCUUUUUGACAAUGAAAGGAUAAAACAGACUGGAAAUUUUCUAUAUUUCCUUACACCACUUGGUAACUCACAACAUUAAAAGGAUUCUGCGCACAAGAUUAUCAUUAAUUAUAGUAAUAGCUUGAUUGAACAAAUUAAGUACCUUGAUAAUUGUAAACGACAUUCAGCAUUUCUUGAUGCAUGGCAAUCCCUGAUACCUACUAAACAGAAGCCUCCACUGUACUGGACAAGGUAUUGUACAAGGUGCUCGGGUACAAAAGUGAGUAAGAGGAAGCCCUUAUUUAUGUUCUUGUGGAAAAUGCAGCAAGUCUCAUAUCACUAUAUAAUGUGGUAGAGGCAAAAUGGAUGUAUGCACAAGAGGCUAGAAAAGAUGCAUUUUGAUCUUCUUUUUCUGCAUUCGUUCAUGUUAUUUCCUCUGCCUGGAGUCCUCUUUUUCAUCCUUGACUGUCAAUGUUUUACUCACCCUUAAAGAUCCUUCUUUAUGCUACCAC